rnacentral:rRNA from 1 species
UAAGGAAUAUUGGUCAAUGGACGCAAGUCUGAACCAGCCAUGCCGCGUGAAGGAUUAAGGCCCUCUGGGUUGUAAACUUCUUUUAUAGGGGAAGAAAUGUGACGGUUCUCCGUCACUUGACGGUACCCUGGGAAUAAGCACCGGCUAACUCCGUGCCAGCAGCCGCGGUAAUACGGAGGGUGCGAGCGUUAUCCAGAUUUACUGGGUUUAAAGGGUGCGUAGGUGGGCUUAUAAGUCAGUGGUGAAAUCUCCGAGCUUAACUUGGAAACUGCCGUUGAUACUAUAGGUCUUAAAUUAUCUGGAGGUAAGCGGAAUAUGUCAUGUAGCGGUGGAAUGCUUAGAUAUGACAUAGUACACCAAUUGCGAAGGCAGCUUACUACAUAUAAAUUGACGCUGAGGCACGAAAGCGUGGGGAUCAAACA